GCGUAAGUGGUACAGUGGCUAGUGGCUCUGCUUAUGAGGCAUACGAUUCGAGGAUCGAGUCCUCUAUUGUGCG